rnacentral:rRNA from 1 species
AUGUUGGUCCAAGUGACGCGCUUCGUCUGGGAGUUUCUGGCUCUUGGUGCUCUAGCAUCUCGACAAUAUUCUCAGGGGAACCUGGACAAAUCUCAGCAUGCUCUUUACCUGGUUCUGCUGCUUCUGUCGUUUCCUUCAAUGCAGACAUUCAAAAAAAUUAUUAAACUAGCACAUCAACGGAAACUAGAUGAAAUAGCAAUAAAUAUUGUCUUGAACAUACUGGGGCUGAGUAAUAUGUGUGUUGCUCUGCUGGAAUGCAUUGCGCAUUCCGAAUUGCUUGCGAGGGAUCCAGAUUGUCAGUUUCUUCAAUACAACCAAUAUCAAGUUCAACGUCUGCAAGUAUUCAUAUUCUGUUAA